rnacentral:sRNA from 1 species
GGUUCUUGUCCUCAGAGGCAGUUUUCUGGGGAAGGGGCAGCUGUGAGACAUUGUCAGACUGUCUACAGCUCCAGGGUCUCUCCUAGGUUUCAGCUGCUGGGACGAACAAAGGCGAAGAGGAAGACAGGUUCUCAUCAUGGUCUUUUAACAAAGAGCCUUACCAACUGACCCAUCUUCCUAGCCCAAAGUGUAUCUUCUUUUAAAUAAGCAAACAAUUGGAUGGCACAGUACCAAAGCUUGGGCUGAGAAUCAAAUAUUCUCUAUUGCAUCAAAGCCAGUGGCCAUACCUCCCAUCCAAGAAGGCACAGUGCACAUGAAGUCUCAGUGGAAUGGGAAGGAUGAAGGUGUAGAAGGGACAUGAGACUGAGAAAAUGUGGAGACUGCCUUCCCCAAUCUUAGAGAAAACCUGGGGAAGUCAGAGAAGAUGGGACAGGAAAUCACACUUACAGGAAGCAGAGAUGUGUUUGAAGUAAGCACUAUUGAAAUCCAAGGCCCCUAAGGAAGACUGGUGUGAUGUCCUGAGUAACACCCCAGGAAAUGGGGAGAGAAGAAUGGUAGCUAGCAGAAGAAAACAAGAAGCCCUGUCCAGCACUAUGAAAGCCAGCCAGCAUGAAGGAAGCUUGUAAGGUGGAAUUGGUUUGAUUUCUCUAAGUCCUGUGGCCAAAGUAAAUGUUAUCUUCAGCAAUUGGGUCUUACCAUCAAGUUAUUGCAGAAAAACAAGAACAAUGGCAAAAGCUUGUAUAUUUCGGGGACAAUCUCUGAACAAAACUGGAGAGAAGAUAUGUCACGCCGGUCUUGUGUCUGGCUUCUGGGAGGAGCAUUAUGCUCUGUAUAAUAUA